AGCCAGCACAGCUUCAGUUACAAUUAUGCAGCAUAAUUCCCUGCGAUAGAAGGGUAGUGACAAUAAUAAAUUCAAAUGCAUUCAGAUAAAUAAUUUUAAAGCAAAUGCACAUUGCUGGAGGAUAUUCACCAAGCAGACAAAAAAAAAAAAAAAAAAAAAAAAAAAAAAAAAAAAAAAAAAAAAAAAAAAAAAAAAAAAAAAAGCCCAGUAGCCUAAUAUGUUAUUUCUUGGGAAUAGUUCUUUCUGCCCUCAGGCUGAUAUAUUCUUUGGGAACACUUUAAUGCAGUUCCUAUAAUUAGUGAGUACUUCACAAUCACCUUCCAGAGAAUUAUAUCUUUCUGUAACACUCUCUGCGUGUGCUUUGAAGGCAUCGAAGCAUACAAGGUUCUUGUCUCAGCAGAAGAAAGGCUGCAGGGCAGAACCGGGGCAGGGGGCUUUACAGCGUUGCCAGGAGGCACCAGCUCGGUUUCCCUGCAGCAGGCACAUCUCUCCUCUUUGAGAAACACUGUGCAAGGCAUGUACCAAGAGAAAUGGGGAAGGAGACAUGCCAGGGUGCUAUCCAGACAUUCUUCUGAGAAAGUCUACCUUCUUGUGCAAACAGAGAGAUACUUCCAAGCUUGCUUUUCUAGGAAUUCCUGUGUGAAAUUGCCCUCUGAGACAAGUGAGAAAUGAGGCCAUGUCUCAUUUAUACCUUUGAAGAGGAUGGUUCCUUACUGCCAUGAUACAAUACCUAGUUUUUAAAAGUCUUUCAGUUACUUACAUUUUCAUGCUCAAAAUUGCUGUGGUAGAGGUGAAGAAUCUUGGAAUAAUGACUAUGACACAACUUUUAAAAAUCCCUCAAGUAGUUAAUUACAUUCCUGGAGAGCUGGAGUAAUAACAGGAAUAUCCGAGUUGCAAUAAAAAUGUAAGAAGAUUUUUAGAAGGUCA
rnacentral:lncRNA from 1 species